rnacentral:rRNA from 1 species
UGGACGUCAAGUCAUCAUGGCCCUUAUGUCCAGGGCGACGACACGUGCUACAAUGGCCGGCACAGCGGGAAGGCGAGGCAGUGAUGCCAAGCGGACUCCCUUAAAGCCGGUCUCAGUUCGGAUUGAAGUCUGCAACUCGACUUCAUGAAGCUGGAAUCGCUAGUAAUCGUGGAUCAGCCAAGCCGCGGUGAAUACGUUCCCGGGCCUU